AAGAAACCUCUAUUAGGAUACCAUGAGAUACCGCUCCUGUACUCUGCCACCUGAUCUUGACGGUGAGUAUGCCGCCAAUACUGAUUCAGGCGGUGGCGCACAUGUGAAACAUAUAUGUGUGUGUGGUUGCGUCCGUGUGCGUGCUGGUGUGUUUGAACUCUACAUGUAGUCCCUUUCUUUGGCAACCUUCCCUUGUUUCUGCGUUUCCUUCUUCGUCUUUCAUAUGUGUAGUUGUCGCCCUUUGUUUUCGCCUUUGCAUUUUGAAACUCAGCUGCCCAAGCUUCCACCCUGAUACACUCGCAAGAGCAUCGCUACUUCUGUAGUGCAAAAGGAUUCAGCGAAGACGGAAAGAGGCAGUAGCCCCUCCCCUGGAUCACGGCUCAUGCCAUUGCUCACCUCAUGUGUUUUUGAGCGGAUGAGGUUCAUUCCUCGGCGCCCACUUCUUUCUCCGCCUCGACCAUCAUCCGUGCCAAUGGAGGCAGACACUGUCAGUGUAACGGAUGUCGACAUCAUGACUUAGUUGCGAACG
rnacentral:misc_RNA from 1 species